rnacentral:rRNA from 1 species
CGAAGGGGGCUAGCGUUGCUCGGAAUUACUGGGCGUAAAGGGCGCGUAGGCGGACAGUUUAGUCAGAGGUGAAAGCCCAGGGCUCAACCUUGGAAUUGCCUUUGAUACUGGCUGUCUUGAGUACGGGAGAGGUGUGUGGAACUCCGAGUGUAGAGGUGAAAUUCGUAGAUAUUCGGAAGAACACCAGUGGCGAAGGCGACACACUGGCCCGUUACUGACGCUGAGGCGCGAAAGCGUGGGGAGCAAACAGGAUUAGAUACCCUGGUAGUCCACGCCGUAAACGAUGAGUGCUAGUUGUCGGCAUGCAUGCAUGUCGGUGACGCAGCUAACGCAUUAAGCACUCCGCCUGGGGAGUACGGUCGCAAGAUUA